rnacentral:rRNA from 1 species
AGAGUUUGAUCAUGGCUCAGAUUGAACGCUGGCGGAAUGCUUUACACAUGCAAGUCGAACGGGCUUAAGGAGCUUGCUCCUUAAGUUAGUGGCGAACGGGUGAGUAAUAUAUCGGAACGUAUCCAAUAAUGGGGGAUAACUAAUCGAAAGGUUGGCUAAUACCGCAUACGCCCUACGGGGGAAAGCUAGGGACCUUCGGGCCUGGCGUUAAUGGAGCGGCCGAUAUCUGAUUAGCUAGUUGGUGGGGUAAAGGCCCACCAAGGCGACGAUCAGUAGCUGGUCUGAGAGGACGACCAGCCACACUGGAACUGAGACACGGUCCAGACUCCUACGGGAGGCAGCAGUGGGGAAUUUUGGACAAUGGGCGAAAGCCUGAUCCAGCCAUUCCGCGUGAGUGAAGAAGGCCUUCGGGUUGUAAAGCUCUUUCGCAAGGGAAGAACACUUAGUCUCUAACAUAGACUGAGGUUGACGGUACCUUGAUAAGAAGCACCGGCUAACUACGUGCCAGCAGCCGCGGUAAUACGUAGGGUGCGAGCGUUAAUCGGAAUUACUGGGCGUAAAGCGUGCGCAGGCUGUUUUGUAAGUCAGAUGUGAAAUCCCCGAGCUCAACUUGGGAACUGCGUUUGAAACUACAAGACUAGAAUAUGUCAGAGGGGGGUAGAAUUCCACGUGUAGCAGUGAAAUGCGUAGAGAUGUGGAG